UACGGGGGGGGCGAGCGUUGUUCGGAAUCACUGGGCGUAAAGGGCGCGUAGCGGCCCGCACAAGUCUGCGGUGAAAACCCCUGGCUUAACCGGGGGCCGGCCGUGGAAACUGUCGGGCUGGAGGCUGGGAGAGGGCAGCGGAAUUCCCGGUGUAGCGGUGAAAUGCGUAGAGAUCGGGAGGAACACCGGCGGCGAAGGCGGCUGCCUGGACCAGUCCUGACGCUGAGG
rnacentral:rRNA from 1 species